UAGUAUUUUAUUAGUUUUCUGGAAGGAUGCAAAAGUCAUACUGGGCUUCCCGUGUAUAGUGAAUGCUAAAGGAUGCAAUAGUAUUUGUACAGUCGGGAAGUGUCAUUCUCUAUGUUUACCAACUGGACUCACCCUCUUCAGAGAUCUAACCCUUGUCACCGUAAGGAAAAAAGCAAAGAGUAUUAUGAGGCCAUAAAGUUUGAAUUCAUAGAAGCAUAUGCUGAAGAACACCAGAAUUAGUCUUCAUGAACCAUUAUCGCCUUGUUGAUGAUGUUUCACAUGUAAGUUUUUGGUCCAUUCAGACAAGGUCUUUUAAUUAUUCAGAAGCGAUGUCAAAUGGUACGUACCACUGUUUAUUUUAAUUUUCUUUCAAUAUUAAGUUGAGAACGGAUUAUUGCAUUUCCAUUUGGGAAAAGGAGAGGAGAAAAUGAUGGAUUGGAGCUUUGGCGGAACAUUAUUACUGUCUUGAAAAUUCAUGGCAAC
rnacentral:lncRNA from 1 species